GCCUCCAUGGCCCAGUAGGCAGCGCGUGAGUCUCAUAAUCUCAAGGGUCGUGAGUUCGAUCCUCACUCGGGGCA
rfam:Ciona savignyi cont_26761, whole genome shotgun sequence.